GCAUAUCAAUAAGCGGAGGAAAAGAAACCAACAGGGAUUGCCCCAGUAACGGCGAGUGGAAGCGGCAACAGCUCAAAUUUGAAAUCUGGUCCCUAGGGCCCGAGUUGUAAUUUGUAGAGGAUGCUUUUGGUGAGGUGCCGCCCGAGUUCCCUGGAACGGGACGCCACAGAGGGUGAGAGCCCCGUCUGGCUGGCCGCCGAGCCUCUGUAAAGCUCCUUCGACGAGUCGAGUAGUUUGGGAAUGCUGCUCAAAAUGGGAGGUAUAUGUCUUCUAAAGCUAAAUAUUGGCCAGAGACCGAUAGCGCACAAGUAGAGUGAUCGAAAGAUGAAAAGCACCUUGAAAAGAGGGUUAAAUAGUACGUGAAAUUGUUGAAAGGGAAGCGCUUGUGACCAGACUUGGGCGCGGCGGAUCAUCCGGGGUUCUCUCCGGUGCACUUCGCCGCGUCUAGSCCAGCWUCAGUUCGUCGCGGGGGAAAAAGGCUUCGGGAACGUGGCUCCUCCGGGAGUGUUAUAGCCCGUUGCAUAAUACCCUGCGGUGGACUGAGGACCGCGCAUCUGCAAGGAUGCUGGCGUAAUGGUCACCAGCGACCCGUCUUGAAACACGGACCAAGGAGUCGUCUUCGUAUGCGAGUGUUCGGGUGUCAAACCCCUACGCGUAAUGAAAGUGAACGCAGGUGAGAGCUUCGGCGCAUCAUCGACCGAUCCUGAUGUUCUCGGAUGGAUUUGAGUAAGAGCAUACGGGGCCGGACCCGAAAGAAGGUGAACUAUGCCUGUAUAGGGUGAAGCCAGAGGAAACUCUGGUGGAGGCUCGCAGCGGUUCUGACGUGCAAAUCGAUCGUCAAAUAUGGGCAUGGGGGGCGAAAGACUAAUCGAACCUUCUAGUAGCUGGUUUCCGCCGA
rnacentral:rRNA from 1 species